GACGAACGCUGGCGGCGUGCUUAACACAUGCAAGUCGAACGGAAAGGCCCUGCUUUUGUGGGGUGCUCGAGUGGCGAACGGGUGAGUAACACGUGAGUAACCUGCCCUUGACUUUGGGAUAACUUCAGGAAACUGGGGCUAAUACCGGAUAGGAGCUCCUGCUGCAUGGUGGGGGUUGGAAAGUUUCGGCGGUUGGGGAUGGACUCGCGGCUUAUCAGCUUGUUGGUGGGGUAGUGGCUUACCAAGGCUUUGACGGGUAGCCGGCCUGAGAGGGUGACCGGCCACAUUGGGACUGAGAUACGGCCCAGACUCCUACGGGAGGCAGCAGUGGGGAAUAUUGCACAAUGGGCGGAAGCCGGAUGCAGCAACGCCGCGUGCGGGAUGACGGCCUUCGGGUUGUAAACCGCUUUCGCCUGUGACGAAGCGUGAGUGACGGUAAUGGGUAAAGAAGCAACGGCUAACUACGUG
rnacentral:rRNA from 1 species